UACGUAGGGUGCGAGCGUUGUCCGGAAUUAUUGGGCGUAAAGAGCUCGUAGGCGGUCUGUCGCGUCGGCUGUGAAAACCCGGGGCUCAACCCCGGGCCUGCAGUCGAUACGGGCAGACUAGAGUUCGGCAGGGGAGACUGGAAUUCCUGGUGUAGCGGUGAAAUGCGCAGAUAUCAGGAGGAACACCGGUGGCGAAGGCGGGUCCCUGGCCGAUACUGACGCUGAGGAGCGAAAGCGUGGGAGCGAACGAGG
rnacentral:rRNA from 1 species